GACGAACGCUGGCGGCGUGCCUAAUACAUGCAAGUCGAGCGGAACUGGGGGAGCUUGCUCCUUCCAGUUUAGCGGCGGACGGGUGAGUAACACGUGGGCAACCUGCCCUGCAGAUCGGGAUAACUCCGGGAAACCGGUGCUAAUACCGAAUAGUUUGGCGCCUCUCCUGAGGCGCUACGGAAAGACGGUUUCGGCUGUCACUGCAGGAUGGGCCCGCUGCGCAUUAGCUAGUUGGUGGGGUAACGGCCCACCAAGGCGACGAUGCGUAGCCGACCUGAGAGGGUGACCGGCCACACUGGGACUGAGACACGGCCCAGACUCCUACGGGAGGCAGCAGUAGGGAAUCUUCCGCAAUGGACGCAAGUCUGACGGAGCAACGCCGCGUGAGUGACGAAGGUUUUCGGAUCGUAAAACUCAGUUGUGAGGGAAGAACACGUACCAACUAACUAUUGGUACCUUGACGGUACCUCACCAGAAAGCCACGGCUAACUACGUGCCAGCCGCCGCCGUAA
rnacentral:rRNA from 1 species